UACGUAGGGGGCAAGCGUUAUCCGGAUUUACUGGGCGUAAAGGGAGCGCAGGCGGCGCGCCAAGUCUGAUGUGAAACCCCGGGGCUCAACCCCGGGCAUGCAUUGGAAACUGGCGGGCUGGAGUGCCGGAGAGGUAAGCGGAAUUCCUAGUGUAGCGGUGAAAUGCGUAGAUAUUAGGAGGAACACCAGUGGCGAAGGCGGCUUACUGGACGGCAACUGACGCUGAGGCUCGAAAGCGUGGGGAGCAAACAGG
rnacentral:rRNA from 1 species